GACAUUUAUUUCCCACACUUCUGCAGGCUCGGAGUCUGAGAUUAGGGUGCCAGCAAGGUUGGGUUCUUGUGAGAGACCCUUUCCUGGCUUGCAGAUGGCUGCCUUCUCACUGUACCAAGACUGGGC